UGCGAGUAGAAGAAAUUAGAUUCUUUGCAUACUGCUCAGUAACACGUGGAUAACCUGCCCUACACUGGGGGAUAAUCUCGGGAAACUGAGCAUAAUACCCCAUAGACCACUACCCUGGAACGGUGAGUGGUUCAAAGCUUCGGCGGUGUAGGAUGGGUCUGCGGCGUAUCAGGUCGUAGGGGGUGUAAUGGACCUCCUAGCCAUCGACGCGUACGGGUUGUGGGAGCAAUAGCCCGGAGACGGAUUCUGAGACACGAAUCCGGACCCUACGGGGUGCAGCAGGCGCGAAAACUUCACACUGCANGAAACUGUGAUGAGGGAACUCCAAGUGACUGCACAAUGUGUAGCCUUUUCAUGAAUCUUAAUAGUUCUUGGAAUAAGGGCUGGGAAAGACCGGUGCCAGCCGCCGCGGUAAUACCGGCAGCUCAAGUGGUCGUCNCUUUUAUUGGGCCUAAAACGUCCGUAGCCUGUUUGGUAAAUCUGUGGGUAAAUCAACGAGCUUAACUCGUGAAUUCUGCAGAGACUGCCAGACUAGGGACCGGGAGAGGUAUGAGGUACUCUGGGGGUAGGGGUAAAAUCCUGUCAUCCCCAGAGGACCACCUGUUGCGAAGGCGUCAUACUGGAACGGAUCCGACNGUCAGGGACGAANCCUAGGGGCACAACCGGAUUAAUACCCGGGUAGUCCUAGGUGUAAACGCUGUGGAUUUGGUGUGUGGGGUCCGCAAUGGGCCCCAUGUGCCGGAUGAAGAUGUUANAUCCACUGCCUGGGGAGUACGGUCGCAAGGCUGAACUUAAGGAAUUGGCGNNGGANCACUGCACGGGAGGAGCGUGC
rnacentral:rRNA from 1 species